rnacentral:rRNA from 1 species
UACGAAGGGGGCUAGCGUUGCUCGGAAUCACUGGGCGUAAAGGGUGCGUAGGCGGGUCUUUAAGUCAGGGGUGAAAUCCUGGAGCUCAACUCCAGAACUGCCUUUGAUACUGGCGACCUUGAGUCCGGGAGAGGUGAGUGAACUGCGAGUGUAGAGGUGAAAUUCGUAGAUAUUCGCAAGAACACCAGUGGCGAAGGCGGCUCACUGGCCCGGUACUGACGCUGAGGUGCGAAAGCGUGGGGAGCAAACAGG